rnacentral:rRNA from 1 species
CCCUUAGAUGUUCUGGGCCGCACGCGCGCUACACUGAUGCACUCAACGAGUUUAUCACCUUGACCGAAAGGUCUGGGUAAUCUUUUGAAAUUGCAUCGUGCUGGGGAUAGAUUAUUGCAAUUAUUAAUCUUAAACGAGGAAUUCCUAGUAAACGCGAGUCAUCAGCUCGCAUUGAUUACGUCCCUGCCCUUUGUACACACCGCCCGUCGCUCCUACCGAUUGGAUGAUCCGGUGAAAUCUUCGGACUGCUGCUAUGUUGUUGGUUUCCGACGCGUUGUGGCGGAAAGUUGCUUAAACCUUAUUAUCUAGAGGAAGGAGAAGUCGUAACA